rnacentral:rRNA from 1 species
ACACUCCUGCGGGAGGCAGCAGUGGGGAAUAUUGGACAAUGGGCGCAAGCCUGAUCCAGCCAUGCCGCGUGAGUGAUGAAGGCCCUAGGGUUGUAAAGCUCUUUUGUGCGGGAAGAUAAUGACGGUACCGCAAGAAUAAGCCCCGGCUAACUUCGUGCCAGCAGCCGCGGUAAUACGAAGGGGGCUAGCGUUGCUCGGAAUCACUGGGCGUAAAGGGUGCGUAGGCGGGUCUUUAAGUCAGGGGUGAAAUCCUGGAGCUCAACUCCAGAACUGCCUUUGAUACUGAAGAUCUUGAGUUCGGGAGAGGUGAGUGGAACUGCGAGUGUAGAGGUGAAAUUCGUAGAUAUUCGCAAGAACACCAGUGGCGAAGGCGGCUCACUGGCCCGAUACUGACGCUGAGGCACGAAAGCGUGGGGAGCAAACAGGAUUAGAUACCCUGUAGUCCCAUGAU